ACUCGGUCUCGUACGUAUCUUCAACCCUCGUAUGAGAUGGCUCCGCCGCCGCCGCCUAAGACCGCAGCCCCGCCCCCGGCAGUCCGGCACCUCUCCUCUCCCGGCGGCCCUCCUUCACCGCAGUCUCCUCUACUCGGCCAUGUCCGCCCAAGUCUCCUCCCCCUUGUUGCACCUAUCAGCGGCGACCGCGAUGCCCGUCGACCACCAACAGCCGCCCAAGUUAUCUAUGGGUUCUCUAAGGGACUGGCCUGGGUCCUCUGCUUUCGGCCGGUGUCGGUGCAAGCUGAAACUCAUUCGUGGCAGGGAGGAGCAGAUCAAGGCCUUCCAAUAGGCGCAGGAUCAAGUCAUGAAACUUGCAUCAUCUUUACAUCACCAUGUAGUUGGGUGUAACGUGAGUUCUGCUCUUAUUCUACAUUGUGAGAGGAGCGACGCUGCCGGUGCGUGGCGACGAGAGGCUCCUGGUGCUCGACAAGGUGCCUGAGCAGGACACCUUGAUUAAUACAUCAUCGUUCCCCAUGCCAUAUGCCGGUGGAUGGAAACAGAGGUGUUCAAGCGAGUCGGCGACAUGUCUGCCGUGCCAGCACAGCUCAGCUCCGAAGAUAUAAUAGGCCCAGCAAAUAACAUCGCAUAAUUUAGGCAAGCGAAAUACAGCUGUUAAAUGCCUCCAUGUUGUAUUGCACACCCAUUUCAUAAUACUUUUUGACAUAAGUAUAAACAUCUGCAAGCCUACUGUUCUUCUGCGUGUUAAAUUGAAUAAGAUUAUGAUGUUAUAGUGUUGCUGCUUAUGCGUUGUGCAGCAGACGUUUCCUUUGUCCCAUCAAGGACGCAGAUCAUACAUUAGCAUGCUCAAGUUGAAAUGACUUGACAUAGGCAAGAAACUUCCACACAUUUUCUCUUCCAUUCACACUUAUUGGGGUUUCUUAUAGGUUUUAAAUCUUGAAGCUUACAUGGUCACUAAUAUGGGCAUGUUCUGUUAAAUCACUAACCUUGAUUUCAGUCUUUAGGCAUUAUGACGAAACUUCAACAUUGAAGAUUGUGAAAGGUGAUUUUUUUUUUCAUUUCCUUUGACGUAUAUUUAAGUCUUUUUUCCCCUCUUCUGUUUCAUGUUCCAUUAAUUCAAAUAUGUUUUAUUGCCUGGUGAAUACUUAUUCUGUUUUAGUGGCUGACUAAUUGGCCCUUUGCUGAUCAAUAUAGUUCCCUUUGUAUAUAUAUGCUGUACAUAUAAACUGAUCGCUUUAUCUAAUUACAGGGCAGCUACAUUGCAAAGUAUUAAGUAAUAACCUGUUAUCUUUUUCGCUUUUUUUGCUAUAUCACUUAACAAUUGCUGUUGUUGUUAAUUUAGCUUGACACAAGUAUGUGAUUUGCCAUUUCAUUUGGUACAUUGAAGCUUGGGCCUUUUGCCUUUUGUGUUCUCAUCUGUCAUUAUAUUGCAUACAUUUAUGAUCAUUUUUUCGCAAAUUAUAUAGUGGCAUGCUUUAACCAUGACUAUUAUCUUCAUGCAGACAUGCAGUGAAC